AGGAAUAUAAAUAACAACUUUAUUAUUGCCUCUAGGGAAUAUUUCCUUCAAUUACUACAUACCAUGUACUGAAUGGAUGAGAAUACAAGAUAAAGGCUUACACUCGCCACAAGCUACAACGUGAAUACAUGAAUACAUCAAUACUUAGCAAUCAUCAUACAGAAGAGCAGGAUCCGACUACGAAUGAAAUCAAACAAAAAAGAAGAACAACAUCCACCCUGCUAAUCCCAGGCUCCCUGACCCGGAACCUAAAUCCCUUGAUCAAAGAAGAAGCAGUAGAAGAACUCCAAAAGAAGCAAGCAUCGCACUCACGUCAGAUCAUCACAUUACAUGUACCUACAGCUGUUGUUAUAGUAAUCUGUGAGCCAUGAGGACCCAGCAAUCCCAUUACCAUGGGUAUCAAGACUAGCAAAGCUUAAUGGGUAUGGAAAGGAUAAGUAGUGAGGUUGCAACAGCGGCUAAGCAAUGUAUGAUGGCUAACUUACGAGUACAAGAGUAAGCUGAGAAACUACGCAAACGGUCGCAAACUAGUAAUGAUCAAUAAGUGAUCCUGAACUACUUACGUUCAAACAUAACCCAACUGUGUUCUCCUCUUGAACUUCCCCGGAAAGAGACAGUCAUGGUUACGCACGCGGUUGUUGUAUUUUAAUUGAGUUUACUUCAAGUCCUCUACAACUGGAUAUUAACAAAUUUCCAUCUGCCACAUAACCGCAGGCAUGGCUCUCGAAAGUUUAAACCCUGCAGGGGUGUCCCAACAUAUCCCAUGACAAGCUCACGAUCCGUGGAGACAAUCCUCCAUCGCGGGACCCUCCGACCAGACUCGGAAUCCCGGUGGACAAGACAUUUCAACAAUGGUAAAACAAGUCCAGCAAGACCUCACGACGUGCCGACACCCUGAUAGUAGCCGCGCGUAUCUAGUCUUAGGCCACGGCGGAUGAGCGACGCGUAUAGGUACCAAAAUACCCCAAGUUUCCAAGGGGCGUCCCCGCACAAUGCUCUAUUUUGGGACCAACACCAUUGGCACUGGCCCCCUGUAUGUAGAAAUAAUCCUCGGGUUCAUGACACCCUAUGCCAAUUAAUUAUUUAGUUCAAGUAUUAUCAUGGCAAAUGUUAAAACCAAUGUUGGGCCUUGUUGGAAGAGUUUUAUUCAAAGCUAACUAUCAAGAGGGGCCCAUAAACCCUCACCAUGUUAGGGAUGCAAAAUCAAGGAACAUAACACGGGUAUGACGGAAACUAGGGCGGCAAGAGUGGAACAAAACACCAGGCAAAAGGCCGAGCCUUCCACCCUUUACCAAGUAUAUAGUUGCAUUAAUUAAAUAAGAGAUAUUGUGAUAUCCCACGACAUCCAUGUCCCAACAUGGAACAACCUACAACUGCACCUGCAACUGCACCUGCAACUAGCAACACUAUAAGAGGGGCUGAGCAAAGCGGUAACAUAGCCAAACAACGGCUUGCUAGGACGGGUGAAAAGGUUAGAGGCUAUCAUGGCAAUUUGGGAGGCUUGAGAAACAAGUGGUAGGUAGCGCGACAUAGCAAUAGCAUCGAGACAACUAGCAUAGCAAAGACAGUAGUGAGAUCCAAGGUGACGGUCAUCUUGCCUGAAAUCCCGCUAGGAAGAAGAUCGAAUCAAUGAAGUAGACGGGUCAGCGUAGGUGAAAAGGUUAGAGGCUAUCAAUGAAGUAUGCCAUGUUUACCGAAGAUAUCAAGGAGAAGCGCAACCGGAAAGAAGGAAACAUCAUGGUAAACAACCAUCACAUAAACAUGGCAUGAUGCACAAUCAAGUAUGAUGCAUGUCCGUUUUAAUAAGGAAUGGCAUGGCAAAGUGCAACAAACAAUACUACAAAUUAAGUGGAGCUCAAUAUGCGACUAGUUGCAUAUUGACGAAACUUCACAUCAAUUAUUUAGUUCUCUCUCGUUUAUGAACAAGAUAAGAUUAAAUGUGGUUAAACAUGGCAAGACGCGAAACGUAAUUAAAUUAACUAUUUAGGCAAGUUUAAAUGAGGCCGGAAAUACCAAACAACAAUUCCGGAAAAUGCCCAUAUGCAUAUAGCAAUUUAAUGCAAACAACAAUUUUAAACAUUUUAAAUGUUGUUAUCAUGAUGCGAAUGAGAUAUACAAGUUUAUGCAAUAUUAUGAAAAUGUUACAUCAGCAUGUUCUGAAGCAUUUGUCACCAUGGUGGAAAGAAAGGUUGUCACGGCGACGAAUCUGAAUAUGAUGCCACGGCAACAUAUCGGUUCCGGUAGCUCACGGAGAUACCGGUGCAAAAGGAAGUGUGGAUGUGCGAAACAUGCAAGAGUGACGCGGAGUGAUCCCGGUUACCGGGUGUCCCACGUGUCGAGGAUGGUGCCAAACGAGGGAACAACUAACGUUCGCGUGCAGAUACAACAUCCAAACAUGCAUCUCAAACAACACACAUGCAUUCAUUCACGAGCAUUGUCUCGGCAGUUAUACCUUCGAAGCGUGCAUUUUUCGGGGCAGGCGGGUUCGAUGCGAUGGAGAUGUUCACGGAUCAUCAUGGAAGUAGUGGUACUUUCAGUCCUCGAUGGCGGUAAUGGUACAUGUUUUCAUAGUUGUUCGGGGUCGUCGGUAGUUGUACACAGUCCGUAGAUGGUCAGGGUCACGACAAGGAACUUGACGUCCACAGGGUCUUGGAGGGUCGACGGUAGUGGUACCCACGUCGUUGUGAAAGUAGAGGCUCAUGCGAUGGUAGUCGAACUUGACGUAUCUGAGGGCUCCGAACGUCAUGGUACUUGGCCUUCUUGGCCAUUCCAGAGACGGGGUAGCGGUACUUGACACAUCACCAUGUAGUCGUGCACUUGUCGAAGAGGAUCUUGGCGCAUCCAACAUGAAGCAACACAAAAGGGCCUCGGGUCUUGGUGGUCAACAAAGAGAGGCGGCCCUGGAUGGAGCUGUGAGUAGAGGACAAACAGGGACUUGGCGCCUGGUGCAACCGGCGAUUGACGAGGAGGCGAAGAUGGAGCAGGUCCGGCAAGGGGAGGUGCAGGGUGGCAGAGCAGGGAACUUGGCGCGGCGGUGGCCUGUCCUUGUAGAGGAGGUCGAGGCAGAGGUGGGACAUGGCGCCAGCGGGACUUGGCGCUAAGGAAGGAUGUCCAGUGGGGCACCGAUCCUGCCAGAUCAAAGCGGAGGAGGGACAACGGUCUUGGAGCUCGGUCAUUAGUCACCCAUGGCGAUGCAUCGGCGGCAAAGGCGUGGCGUUGGUCGUGGUCACCAGCGGCGACCGGACGUGACGACGGGAUGGCGAGGCAGAGCAGAGGCUCGUCGGACAGCAGCGGUCAUCGGAGCGUGCCGUGGUGGCGCCGAAUCGAAAAGGCCCAAGGGUGCGAGAAGGGGUGCGAGUGCCAUGGCCAGAGGGAGAGGCUGAGGGGAUCGAGCGAGAGGAGGGGCGGGUGCGGCCUCCUGGCGCUGGCUUUGUGUGGUGGCAGCGCACAGGGAUGGGGAUCGGGAUGAGAGUGGGAGGACGAGAGGAGCUAGGUUAAAGGGUUAGGUGGGUAGCGGGUUGGGCUAAAGGGCCGGCCUAGUUGCUGGUUGCGGCUGGGCUAUAGGAAGGCUAGGGAGAGAGAAGGAGAUGGGCCAACCUGGAAACUAAAUUGGUCUUCCAUUUCCAUUUAUAAAAUAAUUAGAACUUUGGAGAAAAGAAAGAGAGAGUUAGAAAAAGAAUUAGACCAACGGAGAUAUUUUCCCUAGAUCAAGAAAUAAGAAGGAUUUACCAAAAAUGGUUGGAAGAGGUUUUGGCAAUCUAAAUCCAAACUCAUUUGAAUUUAAUUCAAAUGGUUUGAACUAGGACUAGGAUUUAGAAGUGCCCAAAAAUGUUGAGAAUUUAGAAAGAGCCUCGAUAGAUGGGAAAAGAAUUAUAGGCAAGGCUACAGAAUCAAAACUUGAAGAAGGAAAGGCCUGCACGUGUGUUGUGGUAACUUCCAAAUUAAUGGAAUAUAAUUUUUAUAGAUCCCUAAUAAUAUUGGGAGGAUAUGUGUUAUAAAGAGAAAUCACCAUGUGAAUUCCCUCGAUUUAAAUAGAUCAACGAUCUAUGCAGUUUAUUUAGCUGAGCUUUGAAAAGGGUUGCAAGACGACAUGAUGCAAUGAUGAAUGCACUAGACAAAUAAAACACAUGGCGAAACUCGGAAUCCACGGAAGGCAUCUUGAGCGUCGGUCUCGGGGUGUCACAACACUCCUCCACUUACAAGAGAUCUCUCCCCGAGAUCUAGGGAUGGCACCGGAGAGAAGCGGAAGAGCAAAAGGUAAAACAAAGUUGCUUCUUUGACAAAUGAGUGAAACCAUGAACCUUGAUAGGUUGAACAACUUGAAAGAAAGAAUACAACGGAGACAAAGAAGAUUGCAAACACUCUAUCGUGGUAUUCUCAGGGGGGUUUGCGAGACGAUAGAUGCCACGGGGUGGCUUGAGGUGAGGGCAAGACUGUCGCCGAAAUAUCUGGGGACGGGUAUGCAAGUAGCACACACUAGUUUACCCAGGUUCAGGACUCUCCGGAGAGAUAAUACCCCUACUCCUGCAUGUCUGAAUAUAUGUGGUAUAUCUGCAGUACAGAGUGCUCCUGGAGCUGUAUCUGUGCCAUAGGCAUCUGGCUUUUAUAUGUCUCAUAUGUGUGUAUGAGCUGGCUAGCAAGUGGGAGUGGAGUGCUCCCAGGGAGCAAUUGUGGCCGGCCAAGUGUGUGUGGCGUGAGCAUGUAUGCAUGCGUGUGAGAGUGAGGAGUGGAUGGAUGGCUAGCUUAUAUAUAUAUAUAUAUAUAUAUAUAUAUAUAUGUGUGUGUGUGUGUGUGUGUGUGUGUGUGUGUGUGUGUGUGUGUGUGNNNNNNNNNNNNNNNNNNNNNNNNNNNNNNNNNNNNNNNNNNNNNNNNNNNNNNNNNNNNNNNNNNNNNNNNNNNNNNNNNNNNNNNNNNNNNNNNNNNNNNNNNNAAGCUACUUGGGGUAGCUUACAAACCAAGCCAUGUGUGAGGCAUGGUGGCAUGGCUGGUUGUCCCUUGGACACUUUAUAAAAUAGUGCCAGGGGACAAGUACACUAUAGAUGAUGUCACAGUACAACCGUCUUGUUUGUGGUAUGGCCGUCUAGUCCAUGGUCUUGUCGGUGCAGCGGUCGACUUCGGGCAGCCGACUGCUCAGCGUAGUCAGCAACCGUCUGGUUGGCGCAGUCGGAUAGGGGGCCAUCUGGGGUGGCCUGAGCAGUCGAACUGAGGGGCUUUGCUAGCACCGAUGUCUUGAAAUAUUGUCUCGCCAUCUUUGAGGUACCUGUGGUCAAUUACCCCGACACACUCCGUUGGAAAAGAGGAACAAGGAACGUUAUGAGAACCUUGUAGGUUGAAAACACAUGAAUCAAGAUCUCAAGGGGCAAGAAAGAAUUUUAAACCACUCCGGUUGAGAAGAGAAGCAAGGUAUACGAGAGAAUUUGGGCAGCGCUCUGGUAGGAAGAGAUGGAACUUGAUAAGACGGAAAGAGCUUAAAAAAUAGGACGCAACACUCCGGUUAAAUGGAUAAGCAUGAAAAGAACAUGAUCCUGACAAAACAAGAUGAUGGGUGAAGAGAACAACAUCACAAUGCCUCCGGAACAAAAGAGUGGAAUGAAAAGAAUGGAGAAGAGAACAUCAACUUCCACCAUGAAUGAACAUAAAGGAUCCUUCCUGCGAAGAAGGGUUGAAUGGAGUUGUUGGAAAAUCAACAACAAAAGAUAUGAUUUCCAUUGGUCUUAUGGAAAACAUCCCAAAAUUAUGAGGUGAAGACCAGCCACUAACGGAAUCAAUUAAUUUGAUUGAGAACACCAAAGAGAUGGAAAAAAACUUCUUCCACUAAGGUGAUAAAGAGAUAACUUGGAUCAUUGAUAAGGACCACCAUAGCAACAUUCCCAAUGAAAGGCUUUAUGCGAAAUCUAUACCAAGAUAACUCCAACUAAGAGAUUGAUGGGUUGCAAAUAUCUCCUGAAUGAGGAGAAAUGAUGGUUUUAAAAUAUCUCAUUCUUGACAACUUGUGAAUCAUGAUACGAAGGGAAAUUAUCAAGAAUGACAUAACACCACCUCAAAAGAUAAGACAGAAAGAAUUGCACUUUGGAAUGCAAGAUGAAGAAUGCUUGAACUCCUCAAAACCAAACAUGUGUUAAGCACCACAUUUAUUUUAGAGUAUAGCUUGGCGUAUCUUAACUUCGAGCGAAAUCUUGACGAACAAUUGAAGAAUGAAAGGAACCCUUGACGACCACCAUGUUGAGCCUUCGUGAGAACUCUGGUAAUAAAAGAAUGAUCAAACAAAAGUAAAGUUGAAAAGAACUCCGAUAGAAGCCUUGCAAUGAUUUAGAUGGAGCUACAAAAUGAGAAAACUUUGAACUUCAGACAGGAAAGAUGAAUAACUUGGAACCGAGAAUUUGAUAUCAUGAACGAACUCCAGAAGAAGGAAUUAAUCACUUGAAUGAAACAAGAAUAAGAAUUAUGUUAUGCUUAUCCUUCACCAAUUUAAUUUAUGAUAAGCAAUGGAUUUGGCAUAGCACUUAUUCUUGUUGAAAAGGAUUAAGGAGAGAUAUAGCGCAAACUUGGCAAAUUCUUGAACGACACACCGGUAGGAUUUUUGGAAAGAACGGAUGAAUUGAUACGAUAACAACGAAAGAUAAAAGUUGGAUGAACCACCGUAAGAAUCUGAAAAUCAAUGAAGAUAAAGAAUGAAUCACCAGGAAGAAUUGGAAAACGAGCGAAGUUACUCGAGGGAAUUUAGAUACAAGAGAACGAAGAGAUCACGAACUGACUAGAGAAUACUUCAACGAUGCACCGGUAAGAUUUGGAGAACGAGAGCUGAAGGUUUGAAUGAAUAAUUCUAAGAUGACGGGAUCCGGAGAAUCAAACUGAAAAGACUCCUAAAUUUCUCCGGAUGGGUGAAAAAAAUUCUCAUAAUCAAAAACAAUUAUGAGAGAAUGGCGGCAAGCUGGAACUAUGAAUCUUCUAGAGAAUGGACAAGAUUUAAGAGAAACUCUUCUUCAGUCUUCAAAAUCCGAGAAUGACGACGAGAAACACCACCAAAAUGUUUGAGAUACUUUGGGAGAAUGAAAAGCAAAGAGGUUGAGCCAACAAUGAAAAAUAAUUUGAAAUCGAUCUUGGAAAGGCAUUUGACUGAUGAAAUUCAUCCUUGCGUCAAACUUGAAAGAAUUCGAUAAUAACUCCGGGAAAAAUUAGAAGAGUCAGGUAAGAUCCUUGGAAAGACCUGUGGGUUAUGGUCCCACUCAAAAGAAACAUCGUUGAACGAUUUUUACCAGAGAGAUUGCACAGGUUGAAAUAAGUGGCUUGAAUGAGAUAACAAUCUCAAAAUAACUUGAACGGAUUGAGAGUGGAAACGUGAAUCUUUCGAGAUAUCUUCAACACUCCGGAUAUGAACUAGGAGAGGUGAAUAUAUAAGAGAGCCUUCGAUAAGAAAUUCACAUGUGAAAAUAUGUGAAACAAAAGGAAGAGAUAUGAUCAACACCGAAGCUUGAAAUUAAUCCACCAGAGAAGAAAACGAGAAUGAAAGAAUGAUUAACUUGAAGCUCUUGCGCAUCUCUGUCGGUGUCAAAACCGGCAGAUCUCGGGGUAGGGGGUCCCGAGCUGUGGAUUCUCGGAUCAAUGGUAACAGGAACGAAUGAGACGAUGUUUUCCCAGGUUCGGGCCCUCUUGAUGGAGGUAAAACCCCACGUCCUGCUCUUGUUUAUAUUGAUGGAGUAUCAAGUACAGAGUUGAUCUACCGCGAGAUCAUAGGUUGUGGUCUAAAACCUAAGGGUAUGAUGAAUAAUGUCAUAAUGAUCUAUCGACUAGCCUGGCCUCGGCUUAUAUAAUGUACCGGAGGCCUAGGAUAACAAGAGUCCUAGUCGAAUACGUUGGUGGAGAGGAGUCCUUGUCUUGAUCAUCAAGUCUUGUGGAAUAUUCCUUGAAUGCGGCAUGGGCUGCCCGAAGUGGCCCAUGACUAAACCGCCAUGGGGGUCCUCAGCCCGAUCCACCUGGUCGGGAGACGACGUGGUGAUUACCCCCUAGUCCAGGACACCGUUAGUAGCCCCUUGAACCGGUCUUCUAGUUGGGGAAGCUCCUCGAUUCUUCCGAACUGCUCUUCAUCUUCGGUCGUCGGACUUGAAAACUGGUUCAACAAAUUUCCCCAUCUUCGAUCUUGAGGAUCACUGAAGUGAGUCCGAAGAGUUUACACGUUGGGUAUCCGAGGAGCCCCUUUAAGUUAUCGGUCGUUAUCAAUGCCUUGUUAUUUUUACGCCCACCUCGGGUUUGAAGUGUUUCCCGUGCGGCGGUGUCCUCUCGCAUCCAAGCUCCAAUGCUGGACUACAUUCGAGGUAUCUUUUGCAGCCGAGCACCAACACCGGACCGCUUCCGAGCUUGAACGCCGAAAUGUAUCCGAGCUCCAACACCGGACUGUAUCUGAGGUGUCAUAGAUUACCUUGGUCUUGAAAAAGUUAAAAGGGUUCAAACGAGCUUAAUACCGGAGAUGCCCUCUAUGGAGCCAGCCACAUGGAUCCAAGCUUUAUGCUGGACUACUUCCGAGGUAUCUUUUGCGGUCGAGCACCAAUGCCGGACUGUAUCCAAGGUGGUGCACCACCCCGGCCAUGGGUUGAUUGUUAUGAAUUUGAUUCUGAAUUGUGCAAUGUAUUCUCUGCCGAGAUGUAUAGCCAGUAGCCCUCAAGGUGCAUGUUGGCCUAAUAUCUGGGAUACACAUGAAGACUAAAAUCAAACCGCUGACCCUAGUAGCCCUUGAGAUUCAAGUCAAUUCGUAAAAUCAGCCUGAGGAUCAAUUCCCAGCUCGGCAGCAUACUUAGGAAUAGAAACGCGGUGUAAUAUAUUAGAGGAAAUAGUGAUCGGCGAACAGGCCCUUGAGAGAGGGUUUCAAGAAGUCGUCGUAAUAUAUUAGCUUGAUGCCGGAUAAGUCCCAGAUGGUACCUAUUGUUGUCCGAAGACGUGUUUGUGCAUAGUUCGGUCCAGCCGAACACUGAGCACUUUGAAUUUUCUGCAUUGAAUAGGCAAUGCGGUAGCCUCUGAGAUAUUGGUCGGGUGGCAACACCAGAUCAGGGAUUCAAUGUGCCCCUUUAAUAUUAGUGAAUGAUAAGCCCAAAGCCCAGUAGCCCCCGAGCCUUAAUGCAAGCACAUGUGGCCGAAUUAAGGAUCGAUAUCCAGAGUAAAAUCACAAAUUAUGUGUAAUGAUUAUAUGUAUUCAAGUACUUUACAUCAUUAAUGCUCGGAUCCGCACUGUACAAAACUUUGUUGAUCGACCAUCAGCUUCAACCUCCUCGACCAGAAGCCGAGAGUGUUUGUCCUACUUUAUAAAGCCAGUAUAAGGGCAAAGAUUUAUGGAAAACAAGGCAAUCCGGCCAUACAGUUUUAUAAAGAAAGGUACGCACAGAGAUAUGAAACAUCUUCCAAAGAAAAUAAUCCCGCUAUCGGUUCCUUUCUUUAGGUUGUCAUGCUAAUCAUGAUCAUGAAACCUCACCUCCAAUCAUUGUGGGAGAAAAAUAUCAAGGAUUUAGUCCGGGGAAAGUUCCGAACUCUAUGGUAUUGAUGAACCAAAAUUUUCACUUCUGUCGUUGCCGACCAAUAAUAUUCUUUAAGAUUGCUAUCUUUCAGCUUCACCCAGUCUGAGGUACUAACUCAGAUGACCCAGUAGUAACAAUCACAGAGGUGCCCCCUUUACCGCCUAGCCAAACAAUCGGGAAUGUAGGGGUAAGCACAGGAGCUAGGAAACCCAGCUUGGCCAAAAUCUUAACUCAAAUUGAUGCAUAUUUAUGGCUUUAUAACAAUGAUUGCGGAAGGCAGCCCUCGUAUAUUAAAUACAAACGCCGAUGAUAUGUUUAUUUUGACUCCAUUGCGACCAUUUAUCAGUUGAAAGUGGCCCAUCAUCGGCUUCCACCCCCUUGUAGAUGCUAUGCAGGGUGUUUUCGCGAUGACAAAACAACCCUUAGCCGAUGUCUCGGUGCCCGAAGGCGGUUGUGUUAGCGGAAAUGAGGCAAUCAGAUAUGCGGGCUUUAUAACUUUCACUUAGUCAUAGGAGCUUAAAGUUGGGAGGCCAAUAACUAGCCCCCGGUUAGUGUUCGGCGACAGUCGAGGUCAAGCUGUAAACACUUCGGCCAAUGUUAUGAACGUUGUCAUUCAACACGGGGUGACCUCUAUCGAUCUUAUAGUUUAAUACAGUCAUCGGAUUGCUGACCAGUUUACGCUUAUUGUGAUAGUCAGUUUUUGGCUUUCUCUACUGAGGUGCUUAACCAUGCUAGCUGGAAGCACAAUCGCAGUGGUUCUCCCUUUGCGCACCUAGCCGAACAAAGCGGAACGUAGGAGGCAAGCACAGGAGCCGGGCAACCCAACUAUUGACCAAAGACACAAUUCAAAACCGAUGCAUAUAAAGCAAUAUCCGAGAACAUUUUGCCGAGGACUCCUCGUAGUACCUUGGCUUUUGGUGGGUUCGGCUCAAGUCGCAGCCCCCUGUUGAUAUUGUCGAUGCUUAAAAAGUGUCCGACAUUGUACUGCGGGAUUUAUGCUCGGACCCAACACCGAGGUGUAGGUCGGCAGAAAAAAUGCCGAACUAUGGGUCAAAAAAUAUUUCCCAAGCUGGAUUAUUACGCAGGGUACCUCGGUCAAGAGGAUGUCCCGCCUCAUAAAAAAAGCACACAAAUAGAUCAAAAAGUGCCAUAAGCUUAGAAACCAAAAAACUUAUGCAGAAACUCUACGUCCGAACUAAAUCAAUUUUUUUUGGUGCCAAUCCGAAAAUAGGUUUUAAAAUUAGUUUGUGCUUCCGUCGUGCUUUAACAUGACACAUCCGAUCUCGAAGGCGGAGUACUUCUCGUUAGGCUAGUUUAGCGAAUUAAACUUGAGCGGUCAUUAGAGAGAAAAUGGGUUAUCCGGCAAUUGACCACACACUCGCGUUGAAAAAGGAGUGAUAGAAAAAGAUUUUGCAACGACUAGGAAGAGAACAAAUUUACUAUAAAACGGCUCAUAUAAAUUUAAGAUCCCCCAGUAAACUUGGGUAAGAGAAGUGUUUUUAACAAAUAACCUAUGUGAGCAUGGUUGAACCGAACACAAAUUAAAAAUUUAAAACUUUGAGCAUAAAAGUGACUUAGCUGGUUAAUGUGUUCGUCAUUGAUGAUGUGGUCCGAGCUUACGGCGGGACGAGGUCCCAGCCCCCAAGCCGGUCCCGAGGUGGCAGAGCGAAGAGCUUCGACGCUUCGAUGUGGUGACAUAGCACGGCCGAUGCAGGCCGGUAGUGUGACGCUGAAGUACCAGACGUGGGUUAAUGAAGUGAUGACGAAACCCCCAGUCCAGCUGAGGUGACGUGGUAUGUCGAUACACCGAGGUGACAGCGCUGCCCAAUCCCGGAUCAUUUACCUAUGCACGGAAGAUAGUGCAAGCUGGAGAUAAUAGUAAUAAUAAUAAUAAUAAUAAUUUAAUAAAAGUUGCAUGAUUAAUAAUUUAUGCAAAGUGAGUAAUAAAAGAUAUAUGGCCCGUCUCUGAACACUCGACGAGCUAGGACCCUCUUGAUGAUGUCGAAGUCUCCGAGGCAAUCGAACAUGUCGGUAUGGCAAUUGAAUCAACAAGGUGAUCAAGCGAGACGAUUUAUGCCAAUUGAGACAACGACGUUGGCUAUUCGAAGUGACCGCAUGAUGCAGUCGAAGUCGAUCACAUAUACACAUAAAAUAGUGCGGUCCAAAAAGAAUAAUAUAAAUAUAUGUAAAAUCCUUGCAUAAUUUCUUUUUGCAAAAAUAAUUUAUUUAAAGGGAUGUGGCCUGGCGCCGAAGUCAAUGUUGAUGCAGGGCGUCAGCGUGACACGGUGAAGGCAUGGCAAAGCCUGAAUUCACAGGCCGGUCCGAGUUCCGGAUUCGGCAUUCACCGAACUGUAUACGGAAAAUGACCGAACCACCACGCGACCUCAUUAAUGCGGCCACCAUUUGACAGACCUGGUUUAUCUGUUGUAGCAAUCUAAAGAAAGGUUACUCCCAAAAUUAGGACUCGAUCCACAGACCCAUUGCCUAAUGGGCAAUGAAGCGACGGCAUGGCAAUGCUGGCAGAGGUUGGCUCGCCGAGAUAAAGCCCCCGGUCCAGCUAACAUGACGAAGCUGGUCGGCUAGUGACGCUGAAGUUUUCGGAGUAGGUUGAUGAAGAGAUGGCGAAGCCCCCAGUCUAGCCAAGGUGACGAAGCGGGUCGGUAAGGAGACAUUGCAGCUGCCAUGUCAGCCGAGGUCUUGACGUGGUUCGGCGUGAUGGACAUCGGCUUGAAGAAGCAAUAGUGUGGCCAUGCCAACGCAGGUCGUGUCUUGUGACACGGUCAAUGUCGGCUUGAUGAAGUGACCGUGCGACGAUGCUGGUGUGCCCGCUCCAUGUAAUCUGUGGGGCGGCGAUGUUGGUGAUGAUUCAUCCUUCACGAUGUCAUACAAUUAUUCGGCUCGCCAAGAUGAUGAUCCGAAGAAGUUGAGCUUGGCUCAACAAAGCGACGACGUGUCUAGCGCAGGUCGGCAGCCGUGGAGCAAUGUUACUGGACUGGUUUGACACCAGCCUGAUUGUGAAGAGUACCUCAGAGAAGGCUUAAAAUUUUAUGUGCACGUGCUAAGAACAACGCACAAUACGCUACAAGAAAAUUCCUUUAAAAAGGCUGUCCAAUAUCACGUUCAUAAAGAAACAUGAAUUCGGGUCGGAUCCGUAUUCACGCAGAAAACAGAUCAGAAAAUUGGUCCACUCAUCGUAAGGUUCCCGGAGUUUGAACUGUCAGAUCGAGCUGAAAUUUUGAGGGGUGGUAGAUACGGGAAUUCUGCAGCAGAUGUAUGGUUGGAUCUUCCAAAGGACCUCCGAACUGGGCUAUUGAGACCACGCCCUAAACUCGUCCAAAUUCUCGUCCAGAUUUGACAGGGCUCCGGUAUAUCAUAGAUUGAUGGAGAUUCCUCAAUUGGAACUUGACAAAAUUUUGCAUGGUUGUUGUAGACUUAAUUCUGCACAAUUCCACCGAAGGAAUUGUCAAAGCGAUGCUCGAGGAGGUGGUGGUAGUGGAUACAAGUUCGCUGUUCGAAAAAACAGCAUGAUCGCUCGAGGGCAAUGUUGACGUUGAGCCCCCGAGCUACAUGGAUGAUUCAUCCAUGAUCAUGAUAGAGAUCGUAGUUGAUGUUGAUGAAGGCCCUCGUCCAAACAUGAUGAUUGGAGGCAGGGCACAGUCUUCGGUCAAGCCAAGGUGACUAGUCGAGCCGGCAAUGAAGACGCCGAUGUUGCAGUUGAUCUGCAGGCGAGCCAUUGAUCCUUUUUUGAUCACACAACGGAACUCUCAAUGAAAGCACCAUUGUCGGUGUCAAAACCGGCAGAUCUCGGGGUAGGGGGUCCCGAGCUGUGGAUUCUCGGAUCAAUGGUAACAGGAACGAAUGAGACGAUGUUUUCCCAGGUUCGCGCCCUCUUGAUGGAGGUAAAACCCCACGUCCUGCUCUUGUUUAUAUUGAUGGAGUAUCAAGUACAGAGUUGAUCUACCACGAGAUCAUAGGUUGUGGUCUAAAACCUGAGGGUAUGAUGAAUAAUGUCAUAAUGAUCUAUCGACUAGCCUGGCCUCGGCUUAUAUAAUGUACCGGAGGCCUAGGAUAACAAGAGUCCUAGUCGAACAUGUUGGUGGAGAGGAGUCCUUGUCUUGAUCAUCAAGUCUUGUGGAAUAUUCCUUGAAUGCGGCAUGGGCUGCCCGAAGUGGCCCAUGAGUAAACCGCCAUGGGGGUCCUCGGCCCGAUCUACCUGGUCAGGAGACGACGUGGUGAGUACCCCCUAGUCCAGGACACCGUCAAUCUCCAUGAGAAAUCAUCGGAUGAAAAACUUGGAAGUAAAGGAUGAUGAAGCUUCACAUAAAUAAAAUGAUACUUGAUCAAGAAAUCUGAGUCCUUGGAGAAAAAGGUGGGAUGGUGGGAAAACAAGGGCAACUAGGGAUGGAUGAAACAAACACCAUUGUGAAGAACUAAGAAUUGAUGUAGCAAAUAUUGAAACAAUAUGAUUAAUUUGAAGAGAAGCACACCGGUUGGAAAGAAUUGACAUGAUAAUCCCGAUGAUCAAACAGGAUUAGCACUCCCAUAGAAAUAUGAGAACACCGAGUAUGAAAGGUAUGGAAUCCGCAUUUGACUUUGAAGCAACUCGAAUACCACAACACAAAAUAAAACAAAGGAUUGGCUUGCAGAAUAAGCCGAAAACAAACAUAUGAUAGAGAUUUUGUCCGAAGUUUUCAUGGUGGGGCCCGCACGGGCUCGAUUGUACAACACCAUCAUGUACAAGGCAGUGCACAUGACAUACGAAGCGUCCCCGGGUCAGCAUAGCCAAGGACUCUUUAAGACACAAUGAGACCACUGUAAAACCAACCGUGGAGAGGCGAACCACUAGACAUUGAACCCCAAUCUCAUAUCAUGCAUCUGUCAGAAAGAUAUCCUAGGUAACUACUUGAAUUCCCACCUAUGAACUCCCGAAAUUCUCUAGUUAUGCAAUAUGGUGUUGGCGAUACAGGAAGGCACAAAUAUCUCACACAACUAACAAAUCCUACACUCCAAUUGCAUCCAUCCGUCAACACAUAACCAAGAAAACCUUCAGAAAUCAUGUACCUCAGACCUUCGAAAACAUCCGAUCACCUAGUUGUGGCAAUACAUCUGAUCGCUCUCCCUAGUACUGGGUGUCGUCAAACUACUCUCACCACAAAGAGUAUAGAAGAGUUUUUAUGUCGGUGACCUCUGGUAUUCUGGUACUCAAACGAUAAGCACUAUGACAAAAACACCUUGGAGCUCAACUCCCCGGGACACUGCCACAACCCCUAAAUGUCAGGAGGCACCAAGAUAGAAUCACCGUCACAAUGAUAUCGCAAUGAUCCAACAAUACCCACAUGAUGCUAAAAAAAUUGAGUGAAAAAGAGGAGAGUGAAGUCAAAACACCUACGUCAGGAGUCCUCACCAGAGCGACGAAGGGGAUAAGGAGUAAAAAGAAUUCCUACUCUCCGAUAGAACUAGACUCAAAAUAGUUUUCUUCUAGACUCAACAAUGACAGCGGUUUGAUCAAUGGGAUCCUAAGGUUGGUAAGGCUCUGAUACCAACUUGUAGCGCCCAAGAUGCGAUUUUAUCCCAAUCACGUGGUGAAUUCAUGAUCGGGUCACAAUCGCAUUUCGAGCGUAUAGCAAGGUGGAUAUCAUUACAACAUACCAUGUACUGAAUGGAUGAGAAUACAAGUUAAAGGCUUACACUCGCCACAAGCUACAACAUGAAUACAUCAAUACAUAGUAAUCAUCAUACAGAAGAGCAGGAUCCAACUACGGAUGAAAUCAAACAAAAUAGAAGAACGACAUCCACCCUGCUAAUCCCAGGCUCCCCGACCUAGAACCUAAAUCCCUUGAUCGAAGAAGAAGCAGUAGAAGAACUCCAAAAGAAGCAAGCAUCGCACUC
rnacentral:lncRNA from 1 species